AAUGAACGUUGGCAGCGUGGAUUAGGCAUGCAAGUCGAGCGACAAGGUCCUUCGGACUGGAGGAGCGGCAACGGGGUAGGUAAUACAUCGGAACGUACCCUCACGUCUGGGAUAGCCACGGGAAACUGUGGGUAAUACUGGAUAAUCUCACCGCUUGUGAAGAGUGGUGAGCAAAGGUCCGCCGCGUGAGGAGCGGCCGAUGCGAUACUAGAUAGUUGGUGGGGUAAUGGCCUACCAAGUCUAAGAUGUCUAGGGGGUGUGAGAGCAUGGCCCCCACCACUGGGACUGAGACACUGCCCAGACACCUACGGGUGGCUGCAGUCGAGAAUCUUUGGCAAUGGGCGCAAGCCUGACCAAGCGACGCUGCGUGCGGGAUGAAGG
rnacentral:rRNA from 1 species